AGCGGAAUUAGUGGGACUGCCGUUGUNAAAACGGAGGAAGGAGGGGGCUACGGCAGGUUCAGUAUGCCCCGAAACUCUGGGGGCCACACGCGGGCUGCAAUGGUAGUGACAAUGAGUUCCAAACUCGAAAGAGCGUGGCAAUCUCUAAACGCUACCACAGUUAUGACUGAGGGCUGUAACUCGCCCUCACGAAUAUGGAAUCCCUAGUAACCGCGUGUCAUUACCGCGCGGUGAAUACGUCCCUGCUCCUUGCACACACCGCCCGUCGUUUCAUAGAAGUUGCUUU
rnacentral:rRNA from 1 species